CUGGCGCGUGAAGUAAACAUUUGUCGUAGAAGUCGAUUAUUGCUGUAUUUGUUUUCAAUGUACAGCCUGGCGGAACUGUCAAGAAGACUAGUAUGUGAUGUAUAUUAACUAUUUAUUCUUGCCAUGUGGCUGAUGUUUGAGAAUAGGGACAAUGGUUUCGAAAAAAGGGUCGUUGUUUCGUUCACUUGCGCCUUUAUCUCAAACUAUUGCUGAGAAACUGAACUCAGAUGAUUCUAGAAAUGGCGUGAGACUGUUAAUACAACUAGCAGUACGUUCACUUGAAGGGAAGCCGAUUCAGGAAGGAGCACUCACUAAAGUCCAAAUAAAAACAGUAACAUGUGAUGAACUCUGUGAGCUGUAUGCAUUAGUUCUUUCUGUGAUGAAGAUGUUUUUUUAUCAUCAAUCAUCUGCAGUAAAACCAGAAACAUUGAAAGAUGAAUUGAAAGACCUAAGAUUUCCUAAUGCAUCUGCACAAGACUUGGUCAGUGUUUUAACAGGACCCAGAGCAGCCAUUCUCAGUGGCAUUGCAUCAAAACGUAACAUACUGCCAAAGCUGAUAUCUGUUGAUUGGAGAAUUAACAUAACUAUUGCAUCAUGUUAUUCAUCACGUGUGCUUGAGCCAUCAGUAACCCUUGAUGUUUCACUGUCUAACAAUGAGAAAAGGCAGUUUGAAAUCUCAGUAUCAAAAUUCCAUCAUCUGAGAUAUGUGGUAGCAACAGUUUUAAAAGAGAUGGCAUUGCUGGAAAAGAAAAGACUUUUCAAAAUGUCAGUUCCAUGACAAUGAAUAUGUGCAAAUAUUUUCUCAAAUGUUUAAAGGGCCAUUUCAUUUCAUUUCAUUUUGAAACUUACCUGUGAACAUAGAGAUUUUCUUAAAAGCUUCAUAACCCAGACCACGUAAGAAACAUACUGUUCAAGAGAGAUGUGUGGCGCAUCGGAGAUACACACGCUUAUUAGAGCCAGACAAAUCAGCAGUGGCCAAACACUGUAUUGAUACAGGGCAUUCUAUAAAUUACAAUGAUGUGAAGAUUUUAACAUCCACCUCUUCCUUUUGGGAAUCUGUCCUCAAGAGAGCUAUAGAGAUUAGAUUGGCUAAUAAUUUAAUAAACAGAGAUAAUGGUUUUAAUUUGGACAAAGCAUGGAAUCCGGUUCUUGGGGUAAUUAAACUGCAGAGAAGUCGUCAUGGUGUCAACACUGCCGAUCAUACAUCGAUAAGCUAAUUGACUAUCUGUACACCUUCGCCACUGGCGGCGCAUGUGUAAGUGUGUUUCUUUGGCGCCGACCAGCAUCUGUGACCUGCAUUAGCAGUACUGCCACGAUGGAGCAUAUAAGGCCGCACUUGGCAUCUUGUGACUAACUCUGAGGAUGGUCAGACGAUACGCAGCCGAAAUAUCAGUGGAGGAAAUUUUAUUUGCACGGCUCCAUGCCCGAAAUUUAAUGGACUAUUCAUUACGCUGUGAGAAGUUGAAAAUGCAUACAAGUGUUUGUUUCUUCUGCACGCUGUUAGAGAGUGGAGUAAUAGAGAAUUACUGUGAAGGUGGUUCGAUGAACCCUUUUCCAGGCAGUUGAGUGCGAUUUACAGUGUUUACAUGUAGAUGUAGACAUGGAAGCAUACUUACCACAGAAUUAAUGUCUUUUGUGAAAUUUAGGUAGCAUAGUUACCAUCAUCUUAGCAGUUUAAAAAGUUUAUGGAAAUAUGUCUUACCACCUAUGUAUGUGCCUGACACUGUACUAGGUGUAUAAAAAUUGCUACAAUGAUCAGUUUGUCAUAAGUUCACUGCUGUUGUCACUUGUGAAGUCAGAACACAUUGCUUUAUGUCUGCUUUAUAUGUUGUUUGAACUUGUAUCAGCGCUUUUUAUUUGUGAUAAAUGAAGUUUCUAGAAAUUUUUCAUGUUGUGACAAGUAAAAUAAAAAUACAAAAUAUA